GGUUUUUAUUGAGGAGUUUUACAUUGGUUUUAAUAGAGCUAAUGUCAUUGUACAUCCCUAGUGGUUUUAAUGGUUUUACCUAGUUAGGUUUGAACCCUUUAAACCAUUUGAGUUGUUCUGCUGCUAGGAAACUAUUGCUGCUAUGCCUGCAUGCACUUUAUGUUGCAAUUUUUGCACUUGCACUUGCAUUUUGGAUUAUUUUUGGAGAAAAUAAAAGAAAAAGGAGAUUGAGGACCUCAUAGCUAACUGGGUUCCAUCAUUUUCUUCGGUACACCAUUGUUAUUCCUACCGCUCGUUGCCUACCUGUCCACAUUAAAAAAAAAAUGAAACACAUUCCUUUGUAGCUGCAGGUAGACCCUGGACAACAGCUCCUCAUCCUAAUGCUGAGAUUCUUUUAUGGAGCAUUGAAGUAGGUCUGACUCUGGGUGGCAUCUUUUGUGGGGCAACAUUUCUCUUCAGUCUCUGCAGAACUGGGAAAAGGCAUUCUAGGUGUUUCCUUGCAGGUGCUGAGAUGUCUUUGGCUGACUGUGAUGAAACCUACACCACUGCUACCUAUAAUUGCAAAACUCAUACUUGAGUGAUGAUACAUCAGCUGUGAGAUAUACAGCAUGGAGCGCUCCAAAAACAAAUGUAUUUUUUAACAUCUUUUUUCUGAACUGUUUUUCUCUCUGCUUUCAUUUACUUGUUUGCUAGAAUGCAUCACAUAAUAAAUAUAUCAAAUAAAAAUGAACAUGUUGAUUAUGAAUGUCUUUAGCUCUUUACAAACAUCUUAUUAGUCUUUAGCCAGAAUGAGGCUAUUUGAAAAAAAAAUGUCAGUUAGUCUUCUUGCUAUUUUUUUAUGUUCAUUUCUUCCAAAUAAAAUAUAUUACAAAUAUUUUAGCUCACUGCUGGUUCUAAUUAGUUUCCUAAACACUUUAUUAGUCUAACAUAACCAUAAAUAUGAACAAAUCGACUACAACAUAAUGAAUCUUUACUCAUACACUUUCUCUCCUUGGGGGCAAACAAUGCUUUUUGGAUUUAUUUAUUUAUAAUCCUAUUAUCUCACCAAAACUUUGACUGUUUUUAUUUUAUAUUCUUAGAGAAUUCAUUUGAUGAAAUGAGGUCGUUUCACAGGACUGUCCAUAUAACUGUCCACCAAAUUGUGGAUUACUUUCAGGUAAAACCUGUUCUGCUUAGUGGCAGGUUAAGAUCAUGGAAAAUCUAACUACAGUGCUUUGCAAAAGCAUUUAUAAUCACUUUAAUUUUUGCAUAUCAUGUUGUAUUACCACAAACAUCAAUGCAUUUUUUUGGGAUGUUCUCUAGGAAAUAAUAAAGAUGACUCAUGGUUUUCAAA